GAUGAACGCUGGCGGCGUGCCUAAUACAUGCAAGUCGAGCGAACAGACGAGGAGCUUGCUCCUCUGACGUUAGCGGCGGACGGGUGAGUAACACGUGGAUAACCUACCUAUAAGACUGGGAUAACUUCGAGAAACCGGAGCUAAUACCGGAGAAUAUAUUGAACCGCAUGGUUCAAUAGUGAAAGACGGUUUUGCUGUCACUUAUAGAUGGAUCCGCGCCGCAUUAGCUAGUUGGUAAGGUAACGGCUUACCAAGGCAACGAUGCGUAGCCGACCUGUGAGGGUGAUCGGCCACCCUGGAACUUGGACACGAUCCAGGCUCCUACGGGAGGCAGCAGUAGGGAAUCUUCCGCAGUGGGCGAAAGCCUGACGGAGCAACGCCGCGUGAGUGAUGAAGGUCUUCGGAUCGUAAAACUCUGUUAUUAGGGAAGAACAAAUGUGUAAGUAACUAUGCACGUCUUGACGGUACCUAAUCAGAAAGCCCCGGCUAACUACGUG
rnacentral:rRNA from 1 species